GGAGCAAUAGUUUGGGGAAAGAAUGGCAUGAUAUGUGAAAGUGUUCUUUCAGAGUUCAAAGAGUUAGUAGCAAUGUAUGGAGGGACCAAGGAGAAGCGAAGAGCAGAUCAGAUGCUAAAAUGGCUUAUUGUUGUUUCGGAUAACCCUUCAGAUCGCAUGAUCGGCCUUCCGACCACCAGAAAGCUUGCUGAAAAAAACAAGGUCAUUUUUGGCACUGGAGAUUACUGGCAUGUGCCGAGCUUAACCGCAAAUAUGGCUUUUGUUAGAGCAGUUUCUCAGACCGGGAUGUCUCUCCAUACGAUCGAGCAUAGACCACGUGCUUUGAUUGGAAAUUAGGUACUAAUUUUUUUCUGGAAGUGGCUUGACAUGUGUUUGUGAGUGGACUUCAAGCUGUCCACCACCAGGGAACAUCGGCCCAAGAUUCUAACCUUCCUCAACUUCAUUGUGCCUAGUUCGACUGACACCGGUGCAUCAACUUUUAGAUCGAGAGGGAUUUGUCCUGUUUGCUGUUGCUGCUGCAGUGCUUUCAUUAUGGUGCUCCCAGACUCGCUUUGGCCAGUCAAGGGUCAGGUCGAAGUUGAGCCUCAAAGCACUUAUUUGAAGGCGGUCAACAGAAUACUGUGGAAUUUUGGGUUGGAAGACAAAGUAAAUAACUGCGGCAACUAUUCCAAUGAGGAUCAGUAUGAGAAGGAGGAGGCUAAUGAUCCC